UACGUAGGGGGCAAGCGUUGUCCGGAAUCAUUGGGCGUAAAGGGCAUGCAGGCGGUCGGACGCGUUUUGUGUGACAGCGGGUGGCUCAACUACCCGAGCAUGCGAAAGACGGUCGGACUUGAGGACUCGAGAGGGACACGGAAUUCCGGGUGGAGUGGUGAAAUGCGUAGAGAUCCGGAGGAACACCGAAGGCGAAGGCAGUGUCCUGGCGAGUGACUGACGCUGAGGUGCGAAAGCCAGGGGAGCAAACAGG
rnacentral:rRNA from 1 species